AGCCCUGAGGUGUGAUCAUGUCGAAUUGCAAAUUCGAAGAAGCAGCUUCAAGUCUGCCGGGGCUU
rnacentral:tRNA from 1 species